AUUGAACGCUGGCGGCAGGCCUAACACAUGCAAGUCGAACGGUAACAGGAAGAAGCUUGCUUCUUUGCUGACGAGUGGCGGACGGGUGAGUAAUGUCUGGGAAACUGCCUGAUGGAGGGGGAUAACUACUGGAAACGGUAGCUAAUACCGCAUAAUGUCGCAAGACCAAAGAGGGGGACCUUCGGGCCUCUUGCCAUCGGAUGUGCCCAGAUGGGAUUAGCUAGUAGGUGGGGUAACGGCUCACCUAGGCGACGAUCCCUAGCUGGUCUGAGAGGAUGACCAGCCACACUGGAACUGAGACACGGUCCAGACUCCUACGGGAGGCAGCAGUGGGGAAUAUUGCACAAUGGGCGCAAGCCUGAUGCAGCGAUGCCGCGUGUAUGAAGAAGGCCUUCGGGUUGUAAAGUACUUUCAGCGGGGAGGAAGGGAGUAAAGUUAAUACCUUGGCUCAUUGACGUUACCCGCAGAAGGAGCACCGGCUAACUCCGUG
rnacentral:rRNA from 1 species